AUUGAACGCUGGCGGCAGGCCUAACACAUGCAAGUCGAGCGGAGCGGCGGACGGGUGAGUAAUGCCUAGGAAUCUGCCUGGUAGUGGGGAUAACGUCCGGAAACGGGCGCUAAUACCGCAUACUAUCAGAUGAGCCUAGGUCGGAUUAGCUAGUUGGUGGGGUAAAGGCCUACCAAGGCGACGAUCCGUAACUGGGCUGGGAGGAUGAUCAGUCACACUUGAACUGAGACACGGUCCAGACUCCGACGGGAGGAAGCAGUGAGGAAUCGUCCGCAAUGGAGGAAAGUCUGACGAGGCAACGGCGCGUGAGUGAUGACGGCCUUCGGGUUGUAAAGCUCUGAUAAUCGGGACGCGGUACCGGAAUAGAAAGCCACGGCUAACGACGUGCCAGCAGCCGCGGUAAUUC
rnacentral:rRNA from 1 species